AAGGCAUCAAGUCAGGUGUUUCCGGAAGAGACGAAACAUUAGCGGUUUAGCGCGAGAAGUUCGGGCUUUUGUUGCAAGGAGAACACAAAAGAGGAUAUUUGAAGAACGUUGGUAACCAAACAACAUUUGACACCAUUGGCAUCCAUUGAUACAACACAACCACAAAGACAUUAAAAAAAGGAGAAUGUUGGUAACCGAACAACGACAGUACCUGUUGUUUUCUAAUGUACAAUCACAAAACCAAUGAAAACCAAUGGGUACCGCCGUUGUUUGGUUCCCAGCAUUUGAAAUGACAAGAGGAACGAACACCAGAAUACAGGUUUAGAACAACAUAAAAUGCCUCUACAAUGCCAUGCCUGAUGUCAACAGAGCACCUGUUACCAGCCGAGCAAGGGAAGCCCAUCCAAAACAGAACAAUGGGAGGAGCGGCACCAUCAGGGCCAGAGAUCCGGCAGAUCAGCGGCGAGCGAAGCUGUCUCCAAAUGACCUGCGGCUGUGUUGACAUAUGCGGUUUCAGAUUCCCAGUUCAUUAAGUCACCCCAAGACGAUUGCCCUUUAAGAGAGGAUUUUAUCUCGCUCCAAAGAGAUGAUAAGGACCCCCGCAAGUGAUGAAUCCACAAUUAUCGAUGGUUUCAUAUACGCAGUGAACUUCUCCAAUCGCCCUACAUGGAGAAAUCAUUUACAAGCCAAUGGGCAAGCAGCGCACUCAAUCCACAGCGCAACAUUCCUAACUGCGAAAGCACAGAGAUGUCACCAGGGAGAAUAAAGAGAGAGAGAGUGACCAUUGAGCUCAGCCAGGAGUGAGUGAAAUGGCCAAAGGCUUACAGGAAACUAUACGACGGCAAUGAGAAAACAACAAUUCGGUCCCAUCAACCGAGAGGGACAGCCCCCCGUGCGGCCUCCCUGCUCUCUCGCCUUGUUUGUGGACCACCCAAGAGAGCCACAGUGGCAGACUACCUAAGACGCCAAAUGUGCCAUAAAGAAUUAGCUGUGGUUCUGGAUAGCACUUUCUCCAGACCUUACAUAACAGAAAUAGAAGACAUCACACAGUGUAAAAUCCACCCCUGCCAGAGAUUUGGGAUGGGACCGGCGCAGCUCCCCGAUCUCCUCCUCCAUAGAGCCAUCAUUCUUCUCGAUGAUCCCUGGGAUAAAAAUUUUAGAUU